rnacentral:rRNA from 1 species
GAUGAACGCUGGCGGCGUGCCUAAUACAUGCCAGUCGAGCGAACAGAUGAGGAGCUUGCUCCUCUGACGUUAGCGGCGGACGGGUGAGUAACACGUGGAUAACCUACCUAUAAGACUGGGAUAACUUCGGGAAACCGGAGCUAAUACCGGAUAAUAUAUUGAACCGCAUGGUUCAAUAGUGAAAGACGGUUUUGCUGUCACUUAUAGAUGGAUCCGCGCCGCAUUAGCUAGUUGGUAAGGUAACGGCUUACCAAGGCAACGAUGCGUAGCCGGCCUGAGAGGGUGAUCGGCCACACUGGAACUGAGACACGGUCCAGACUCCUACGGGAGGCAGCAGUAGGGAAUCUUCCGCAAUGGGCGAAAGCUUGACGGAGCAACGCCGCGUGAGUGAUGAAGGUCUUCGGAUCGUAAAACUCUGUUAUUAGGGAAGAACAAAUGUGUAAGUAACUAUGCACGUCUUGACGGUACCUAAUCAGAAAGCCACGGCUAACUACGUG